rnacentral:rRNA from 1 species
ACGGCGCACGGGUGCGUAACACGUGGGUAAUCUGCCCUUCGAUGGGGAAUAACUCGCCGAAAGGCGAGCUAAUUCCGCAUAACAUUCCGGGGACUUUGGUUCCUGGAUUCAAAGGCGUAAGUCGCCGGAGGAGGAGCCCGCGCACGAUUAGCUAGUUGGUGAGGUAAUGGCUCACCAAGGCAAUGAUCGUUAGCUGGUCUGAGAGGAUGGCCAGCCACACUGGAACUGAGACACGGUCCAGACUCCUACGGGAGGCAGCAGUGGGGAAUCUUGCACAAUGGGCGAAAGCCUGAUGCAGCGACGCCGCGUGGGGGAUGAAGCUUCUCGGAGUGUAAACCCCUUUCGACCCGGACGAAUGCCCCGCAAGGGGACUGACGGUACGGGUAUAAGAAGCCCCGGCUAACUACGUGCCAGCAGCCGCGGUAAGACGUAGGGGGCCAGCGUUGUUCGGAAUUACUGGGUGUAAAGGGUUCGUAGGCGGUGUGGCAAGUCGGGAGUGAAAUUUCUGGGCUCAACCCAGAAACUGCUUCCGA